GGGUUAAGUCUUCGUCCAGAGGUAGAACGUGCUCCUGCAAAGGGUGAGACGCGGGUUCAACUCCUGCCCCAGGCCCA